rnacentral:lncRNA from 7 species
UUGCAAGAAAAGGCGUGAUUUUUGGGUUAAAUUGGGGUUUUUCAAGAGAAAAUGUGUGAUUUUCAGUUAAAUUGGGGAAUCUCUAGGAGAAAAUGCCUGAUGUUUGCAUUAAACGUGUGAUUUUCGUAGAGAUAAUGCGUGACGUUCAGGUUACAUGGGAGAUUUUUGAAGAGAAAAUGCGUGAUUUUCGGGAUAAAUCAGGGAUUCUCGAAGAGAAAAUGCCUCAUUUUCGGGUUAAAUGGGGGACUUUGGAAGAGAAAUUGCAUUUUCUUCUGGUCAAAUGGGGGAUUUUCGAAGAGCAACUGCAUGAUUUUCGUUUACAUGUGAGAUUUUUGUAAAGGAAAUGCGCGAUUUUUGGAACAUGGGGGACUCUUGUAGCAAAAAAAGUUUGAUUUUGGGGUCAAACGGGGGAUUUUUGAAGAGCAGAAGUGUGAUUUUCACGUUAAAAUCAGGGAUUCUCGAAGAGAAAAUGCCUCAUUUUCGGGUUAAAUGGGGGACUUUGGAAGAGAAAUUGCAUUUUCUUCUGGUCAAAUGGGGGAUUUUCGAAGAGCAACUGCAUGAUUUUCGUUUACAUGUGAGUUUUGUAGAGGAAAUGCGUGAUUUUUGGAAACAUGGGGGACUCUUGUAGCAAAAAAGUUUGAUUUUGGGGUCAAACGGGGAUUUUUGAAGAGCAGAAGUGUGAUUUUCACCGUUAAAUGGGGGAUUUCCACAAGAAAAUGUGUGAAUUUGGGGGAUAAUGUGGUAUUUUUGAAGAGAUAAUGCAUGAUUUUGGGGUAAAUGUGAGAUUUUCCAAGAGAAAAGGCAAGAUUUCGGGUUGAAUGGGGACUUUGC